UUUGGUUGCAUCCCAGAAGUUUUGGUUUGUGUUUCCAAUUUCAUUUGUCUCAGGAUAUGUUUUGAUUUGUCUUUUGAUUUCUUCUUUAACCCAUUGAUUUUUCAGGAGUGUAUUGUUUAAUAUUCACAUAUUUGUGAGUUUCCAGUUUUCUUCCUGCUAUUGAUUUUCAGUUUUAUAUCAGUGCAAUCAGAAAAAAAACUUGAUAUAAUUUUAAUCUUUAUAAAUUUGAAAAGACUUACUGUUUUUUACUUUUGGUUUAACAUGUCAUCUAUCCUGGAGAAUAUUUCAUGUAUUCUUAGAAGACUGUGUAUUCUCAUAUUGUUGGAUGGGAUGUUAUAUGUAUAAUUAGUCUAUAGUAUUAUAUGAGUGCACUGUUUUCUUAAUUUUGUGCUUGAAUGAUCUAUCCAUUUUAAGUAGGGUACUAAUGUUCUCUUUUAUUGUAUUUCUGUAUAUUUCUCUUUCCAGUUCUGUUAAUGUUUGCUUUAUAUAUUUAGGUAUUCCAGUGUUGGGUGCGUAUAUCUAUUUAAUUGUUCUAACCUCUGGACAAAUUAACCUCUCUAUUAUUAUAUAGUUAACUCCUUUGUCUCUUGUGACAGAUUUUGUCAGACAGCCCGUUUUAUUUAAGCUCCUGAAGAGCACCAUUCUGCCUAAUGUUUCU
rnacentral:lncRNA from 10 species